UGUUACUAUGGAAACAGUAGUGUCUUUCUCUCCAUUAGAUACAUUUUGGUACAUUCUUCAGAAUGUCUCAAACUUCAAAGUUCUAUUCCUGGGACAUAUACUCAGAAUAUAUUGUUAUCCUGAUUCUUCCUGGUAAGAAAGAAGAGGAAGUCUGAACACAACAGUGACACCAGGGAUGACUGAGGACAAAAAAGAGACCAUGUGAAGACACAGGAGGAAGAACUGUCUCAAGCUAAGCAGAGAGGCCUACGGAGAAACCAAACCUUAAUAAUAUCUUGAUCUUGGACUUCCAGCCUCCUGAAAUGUGAAAAAAAGAGAAAAGUUUCUGUGAUUUAAA